rnacentral:rRNA from 1 species
UACAGAGGCCUCGAGCGUUAGGCGGAAUCACUGGGCUUAAAGCGUGUGUAGGCGGCCUUCUAAGUCCCUUGUGAAAUCCCACGGCUUACCCGUGGAACGGCUGGGUAUACUGGUUGUCUUGAGCCACUUAGGGGCUACCGGAACAAAUGGUGGAGCGGUGAAAUGCGUAGAUAUCAUUUGGAACGCCAAUGGUGAAAACAGGUAGCUGGGAGUGUGCUGACGCUGAGACACGAAAGCCAGGGGAGCGAACGGG